CCCGAGUUCGGUGACCUUCGCUCAUUCUUCGACCUCCUUCAAAGUGAUUCAAAUCUGGGUUUUGGAUUUUUUUUUAGAAUCUUAUAUUCCGAUCUUACCACACAAUUGGUCAAUUGGUGGAGCAACCAGUCUAAACCCGAGCCAAUCAAGAAUUCCGCCAUGCUAGACGGCAGCGGCCGAAGGCCCAGCCCUGCUCGGAGCACAAUCACCGGGAUGAAAGGGGAUCGGUCGCUGCUGCUCCUCUGGCAAGGGCUCUGCGAUAUUGGCGUGUUGUCAAGGAACAUCUCGGUGGCCGGAAAUGGAUGAUUCAGAGAUCGAAUCGGGGUCUGGAUCAAGGGCCAUUUCAUUGCAAGCGUAACCAAACUGGUGUUUAAGUCUUGAAUAAGCAUUCAAAAAAUGAGAACUUUGAUGUGGUCACAUUUUUGUAGUAACGCGCAGGUCCUGGAGAUGCGAUUGUUCCCUCUCUAUCGUUCUCCUCUGCUGCUCCUUUCUUUGCCGUCAAAUCCCUAACCUUAAUCCUCAUCGGCACAAAUUGGGAGAGAAGCCCUCUACUUCUCCUCCCUUCGUCUUUGAGAAGCAUCAUCAGAAAUACGAGAGGAGCUAUUUCUGAUUGUCUUCCCAUCCUUCCCUCUCUACGGUCAAGUAUUCAAGCAUUCUUCUGGUCUUCUUCAAAAACUUGGUAGUGCAGCAUCGUUCUCCAAUUCUAAAAGUAGGCAGUACUCGGGUGUUGUUGCUGGAGCUAGGGAGGCAUUAAUAAGUGGAGUGCCCUCUUUAUCUAUUUUCCUGAAUUGCAAAGCGUUGAUCAAGAAGAUGAACGAUUGAGAAGUUUGAAAGAUGAGUUGGGUGUUCAAGCUUACAAGCUAAUAUUGAAUACGCUCUAGUACUCAACCAGUGUAAAACGACAGGAAAGCGAUAUAAGCUGAAGAAGAGAUUAAUGAAGAGAUGGAAGACAAUGCUUUUGAAGAAGAUGGUCUGGGAAGACAAGAAAUGGAGGUGUUAAGAAAUACAAUUGCACAAAGUCUAAUGAAUGCAUCUACUUAGCAUUUAGUUGCAAAUUUGUAUUGACCUUAAUACAUUUUGUGUAAUGUUUCCCAUUGACCAUGGUGGGGGAAUGUUUUGUGUAAUAUUCUCAACUCAUUUGUAUAAUAUUUAAGGGUUUAAGGUAAUUUUUUAUUUGGU